rnacentral:rRNA from 1 species
UAGGGAAUCUUCGGCAAUGGGGGCAACCCUGACCGAGCAACGCCGCGUGAGUGAAGAAGGUUUUCGGAUCGUAAAGCUCUGUUGUAAGAGAAGAACGUGUGUGAGAGUGGAAAGUUCACACAGUGACGGUAACUUACCAGAAAGGGACGGCUAACUACGNGCCAG